rnacentral:rRNA from 1 species
GUCUGAUGGAGCAACGCCGCGUGAGUGAAGAAGGUUUUCGGAUCGUAAAACUCUGUUGUUGGAGAAGAACACGUUUGAGAGUAACUGUUCAGACGUUGACGGUAUCCAACCAGAAAGCCACGGCUAACUACGUGCCAGCAGCCGCGGUAAUACGUAGGGAGCAAGCGUUAUCCGGAUUUAUUGGGUGUAAAGGGUGCGUAGACGGACAUGCAAGUUGGCUGUGAAAUCCCGAGGCUCAACCUCGGAACUGCAACCAAAACUACAUAUCUUGAGUACUGGAGGGGAAAGCGGAAUUCCUAGUGUAGCGGUGAAAUGCGUAGAUAUUAGGAAGAACACCGGUGGCGAAGGCGGCUUUCUGGACAGCAACUGACGUUGAGGCACGAAAGUGUGGGUAGCAAACA